GAGUUUCACUGCCCUCAGGAGUCAGGGACCUGCAGGUAUAUCGUACUUCCUUUAUCUUCUUCUUCUCUUCUGUAUUCAUCUAUCUUUUUCUGCUAACUUUGCCCUUCUUGUUUAGCUUUUCUUCAGUUUGAUUUGGACCUUUUCUCCGUGUACAUGUUAUUUACUGCUUUCAGAAGGGUUCUAAGGUGACAGUUUAACCAAUAUAGAAAUAUGGAGUUCGCAUGCAGUACGGAGUUCAAAGUUGCUCAUGUCAAGUGAAGAAUCGGCUAAGGCAAAUUGAUAGAUCGACUUUAUUAUCCAUCGAUCAAGUCAUCAGUCGAAGAAAAAUCGAUCGUGCGAGAUGCGAUCAAUCGAGACAGGGCAACCACGAAUGUGAUCGAGCGAAAUGCAAUCAAUCGACUUUAUAAUCGAUCGAUCGAAUUUGGAUAUUUUCGGAAUAAUCUGGAACAAUGUUGACAUGUCACUCUUCAUAGAUAUUUUCAUAUAUUUUCAAAAUAUCUUAGAUAUUUCCAAAUAUCUCUUAUCUUAUCUUAUCCUAUCCUAUCCUAUCUUAUCUUAUCUUAUCCUAUCUUAUCAUAUCUUAUCUUAUCAUAUCAUAUCCUAUCCUAUCCUAUCAUAUCUUAUCUUAUCUUAUCCUAUCCUAUCAUAUCCUAUCUUAUCUUAUCUUAUCUCUUCUUUAGAUAUUAUUUUGUAAUCUCUUUCCUCUAUAAAUAGAGAGCAACAUGAGAGGUAGAGAGCAUACAUCUUUUGGGGGUUCCAUUUUCUCAGGUGUAUCUUCUUAGUUAAUUUUAGUGCUUUUCAUUUCCUUUUGUAAUCUGAAUUCUCUUAGAUUAAUAUAGUGUUCUUAGUUUAUUUAAA